AUGACGUUGGGAAAGCGAGCGGCGGAUGGGUGAGUAACACGUGGGGAACCUGCCCCUAAGUCUGGGAUACCAUUUGGAAACAGGUGCUAAUACCGGAUAAUAAAGCAGAUCGCAUGAUCAGCUUUUGAAAGGCGGCGUAAACUGUCGCUAAGGGAUGGCCCCGCGGUGCAUUAGCUAGUUGGUAAGGUAACGGCUUACCAAGGCGACGAUGCAUAGCCGAGUUGAGAGACUGAUCGGCCACAUUGGGACUGAGACACGGCCCAAACUCCUACGGGAGGCAGCAGUAGGGAAUCUUCCACAAUGGACGCAAGUCUGAUGGAGCAACGCCGCGUGAGUGAAGAAGGUUUUCGGAUCGUAAAGCUCUGUUGUUGGUGAAGAAGGAUAGAGGUAGUAACUGGCCUUUAUUUGACGGUAAUCAACCAGAAAGUCACGGCUAACUACGUGCCAGCAGCCGCGGUAAUACGUAGGUGGCAAGCGUUGUCCGGAUUUAUUGGGCGUAAAGCGAGCGCAGGCGGAAAAAUAAGUCUAAUGUGAAAGCCCUCGGCUUAACCGAGGAACUGCAUCGGAAACUGUUUUUCUUGAGUGCAGAAGAGGAGAGUGGAACUCCAUGUGUAGCGGUGGAAUGCGUAGAUAUAUGGAAGAACACCAGUGGCGAAGGCGGCUCUCUGGUCUGCAACUGACGCUGAGGCUCGAAAGCAUGGGUAGCGAACAGGAUUAGAUACCCUGGUAGUCCAUGCCGUAAACGAUGAGUGCUAAGUGUUGGGAGGUUUCCGCCUCUCAUGCUGCAGCUAACGCAUUAAGCCACUCCGCCUGGGGAGUACGA
rnacentral:rRNA from 1 species